AUCAGGAUACAAUCAAUGGGCAGCCGGAGUAUCCCAAAUGUCUUGGGGCUGAAUUGUGUGACCUCAUACAACAGCUCUUGAGGAAGAAUGCCAACGAACGGCUUGGGGUGUACGCCAAAGUCCGGGACCACCCAUUUUAUUCAUCAACUAAUUGGGUGGAAGUGGAAAAAAGAGCACUGGUGCCCCCUGUAAAACCACUAAUUAGAUCAGUUAAGGGGCUCAGUAAGAAUGACAACCCGUUCACCGAAGACAACGCUGGUGUGAUCCGCAUACUGAAGAACUUUGACUAUGUGGAUCCAAGCUGGCAGGAAUAAUACAUCUUUGUACCAGCACAGAGGUUCAUCCCAUCCAAAUGCCCCUCAAACAGUUCUGCAGACAUUCCACCAGCAGAAGAGCUAACAUCUGCCUCAUUCGCCUGCCUCCCUGUUUCAUCCUGUAUCAUCGGGUAAAGUAUAACAUACUCCUUCUACCGAGGUGAGCAGGUACGAUUUAUUGCCAUUUAACUCUGUGAAACUGAUCCCACUGCUGGUUUCAUUGUUAUAGGUUAAGCUGCCGCCCGAAGGAAGAUCUCGCACAUAUACCAUCUGAUGUGUGUGAUACAGGUUUGUAGUACUGCAGCCAACAUCACUGCAGAAAGGCCAUGUUUAUACCAUCUGCCUAUUAAUGUUUUUUACUUUUUCUCUUAUUUGUUAAGCCACUAAAAAACAUCAACAUUUUAAAUCUUUUGCCACAAUCAAAAUUCCAACAGAGUGGCACAGAGGCAGGACAUAUUUCAGUACAUAUUGUCUGUGCUAAAUUCACCCGCAAAUAUACC